rnacentral:lncRNA from 1 species
AAGCAGGAUUAGACAAUCUCUAUUUAAAAGGGUGGGAAAACACGUAAUGCUAGGUGUGUAGGUACUGAAUGAAUGUUGUAUUUCUUCCCUGUUACAACAAUUGUGAGAUGUAUUCUAAUGAUGUUUUAUUGCUAUAGAUCAUAGAUGUCCCAAAGAACAAAGAAAAGAUAAAUGAUGAAUUGCUCACAAGAAGUGGCUUCAGGGAUUUCUUCAGGGAUGUCUGUGUUUGGAAAUUAAGCUGGGAAUGAUGUUGAAUCCAUGCAUCUUAGACUCCGUAGGAUAUAGAUGGAGAAACUGGAGCAGAGAGUUAUUUCAGUAACUCAAUU